CAUAAUCACGAUUUAACCAUAUGACUAUUACUGGUUUCUUUGAAGUGAAAGAAAGUUGAAACUGUGUAUUAUUUAGUGUUAGUUUGUUACAAAACAUGUGGAGAACAAUAUUUUUAAUUAGUAUCAUUUCAUUUUAUACGUGCCAUGGGGGGAAUGAAGAAACAUAUAAAAUCCAGAAAGAAAGCGAAACACCAAGACAGAAGGUAUUGGUAACAAAUUAUGAUGUUCCAUCUUCAGCUUUAGAUAUUCUUAGGAGACAG